rnacentral:rRNA from 1 species
AGAUUGAACGCUGGCGGCGUGCCUAACACAUGCAAGUCGAGCGGUAGCAGGUGUAGCAAUACAUGCUGACGAGCGGCGAACGGGUGAGUAAUGCUUCGGAAUCUACCCACGGGUGGGGAAGUAACCAACCGAAAGGUUGGCUAAUACCGCAUAAGUCCUACGGGGGUAAAGCGGGGAGUACGAAGGAACCUCGCGCUGGUGGAUGAGCCUACGUCCGACUUAGUUAGUUGG